rnacentral:rRNA from 1 species
AGCGAACGCUGGCGGCAGGCCUAACACAUGCAAGUCGAACGAACCUUUCGGGGUUAGUGGCGGACGGGUGAGUAACACGUGGGAACGUGCCUUUAGGUUCGGAAUAACUCAGGGAAACUUGUGCUAAUACCGAAUGUGCCCUUCGGGGGAAAGAUUAAUCGCCUUUAGAGCGGCCCGCGUCUGAUUAGCUAGUUGGUUGAGGUAAUGGCUCACCAAGGCGACGAUCAGUAGCUGGUCUGAGAGGAUGAUCAGCCACAUUGGGACUGAGACACGGCCCAAACUCCUACGGGAGGCAGCAGUGGGGAAUCUUGCGCAAUGGGCGAAAGCCUGACGCAGCCAUGCCGCGUGUAUGAUGAAGGUCUUAGGAUUGUAAAAUUCUUUCACCGGGGACGAUAAUGACGGUACCCGGAGAAGAAGCCCCGGCUAACUUCGUG